GGAAGGGUCUCUCCAAGACAGGCCCACCAGGAGCCCCCACUGGGAAUAAUGCAGCCCCUCUCAGGGGAUGGAGUGUCUGGAAUUCCAUGGCUGAGGUGCAACAGGUGACUGAAGGUUUGAGGAGGCAACGCUGCCACUCACAGUCAGAAGCAGAGGGGAUGAGAUGGCCAGAUGUGAUUGGAAUCAGACACAGUGAGGUUUGAAUCCUCACUCUGUCCUUUUUGUUGUGUGGCCUGUGUGACAGGUCCCACAGCCUCUCCAGCCUCUGUGGGAAGAAGGAUCAUCUGAUGCCUAUGUAAUAGAGUUGCUGAAGGAGUGGAAGCAGCUUUGACAUUAUCAGUGGAACCCACCAGUGCAGACUGCUUCACCAAGGGCACCUGAGGCAGCAGAUCUGAGGAUUAGGGACGUAGGGAGCUGAAGCCUGGCUGGAGAGGUGGUGCGCACAAGAACCCCCACAUUCCCCGACAGGAGCCUGAAAAAGCAAGACGCCAUGUUGGGAGGACACGGAAGCAGUUCUAGGGAGAGGAGCACAUGGCAAGAAGCCAAGGCCUCCUGCCCACAGCCGGUGAGUAGCCAUCUAGGGGGUAGAUGUUCC
rnacentral:lncRNA from 1 species